rnacentral:rRNA from 1 species
CCUACGGGGUGCAGCAGUGAGGAAUAUUGGUCAAUGGGCGAGAGCCUGAACUAGCCAAGUCGCGUGAGGGAUUACUGCCCUAUGGGUUGUAAACCUCUUUUGUCGGGGAGCAAAUGCCGGACGUGUCCGGCUUUGAGAGUACCCCAAGCAAAAGCAUCGGCAAACUCCGUCCCAGCAGCCGCGGUAAUACGGGGGCUGCUGGCGGUAGCCGGAUUUCUUGGGGUUAAAGGGGGCGCAGGGGGAUUUUUAAGUCAGCGGUCAAAUCUUGGGGCUAAACCCCGUACAGCCGUUGAAACUGGGGAUCUAGAGUGUGUGAGAGGGAUGCGGAAUGCGUGGUGUAGCGGUGAAAUGCGUAGAUAUCACGCAGAACCCCGAUUGCGAAGGCAGCAUACGGGUGCACAACUGACGCUCAGGCACGAAAGCGUGGGUAGCGAACAGGAUUAGAUACCCGUGUAGUC